CGGAGAGUGACAUCAAUUGUGCAAGUGCACUACAUCGCCAUACUGUGACGUCACUCUCAGCGACACGCGACUUCAAGAAUUAUUCAAGGCAACAUCAGUUAUUUGUUUAAUCUGUUGCUUCAGUGGACGAAUUAAAGCUUAGUGAAAUAAUAAAAUAUACAAACCGAAUGUCUGAGUGUUUUUGUUUUACUUUGUACCGUAGCAAGAGAGAUGUACUUCCACUUCAUCUGCUUGUUCCCAAGUCAUGCAGUCGUGCACAGACAACGAAGCUAUGUCUUUUUCUGCCGUGUUCCAGCGUGCGAUCGUGCUCGGUGAUUCACUUGUAUCUGCCUCAGUGUUCAUGUAGCACUGACUUAUAUUGCUAGUCGGAUGUUCUCGUGCACAGCGCACAAUAUUGUGCGCUACGUGAAACAAUACAAACCCAACAGCUCACACGCAACACCAUCAGUGGAAGUGCGCCACACAGCAAUAAAGCAAGGAAAAAAAGAAGACAGAAGGUGGGGCCUGUGACGCACGUGUCACGAGAUCCUCCAGCUCCAGUAUGGGAGAACACAGGGAAGAAGUUUCGCUUGCGAAGGCUAGACAGUGCAAGUGGAGAGAGAAUCUUGUUAUGCAG
rnacentral:lncRNA from 1 species